GACGAACGCUGGCGGCGUGCCUAAUACAUGCAAGUCGAGCGGAACUGGGGGAGCUUGCUCCUUCCAGUUUAGCGGCGGACGGGUGAGUAACACGUGGGCAACCUGCCCUGCAGAUCGGGAUAACUCCGGGAAACCGGUGCUAAUACCGAAUAGUUUGGCGCCUCUCCUGAGGCGCUACGGAAAGACGGUUUCGGCUGUCCCUGCCGGAUGGGCCCGCGGCGCAUUAGCUAGUUGGUGGGGUAACGGCCCACCCAGGCGACGAUGCGUAGCCGACCUGAGAGGGUGACCGGCCACACUGGGACUGAGACACGGCCCAGACUCCUACGGGAGGCAGCAGUAGGGAAUCUUCCGCAAUGGACGCAAGUCUGACGGAGCAACGCCGCGUGAGUGACGAAGGUUUUCGGAUCGUAAAACUCUGUUGUGAGGGAAGAACACGUACCAACUAACUAUUGGUACCUUGACGGUACCUCACCAGAAAGCCACGGCUAACUACGUGCCAGCCGCCGCAGUAA
rnacentral:rRNA from 1 species